rnacentral:rRNA from 1 species
AUGCAGUCGAGCGGAACGAGUUAUCUGAACCUUCGGGGGACGAUAACGGCGUCGAGCGGCGGACGGGUGAGUAAUGCCUAGGAAAUUGCCCUGAUGUGGGGGAUAACCAUUGGAAACGAUGGCUAAUACCGCAUGAUGCCUACGGGCCAAAGAGGGGGACCUUCGGGCCUCUCGCGUCAGGAUAUGCCUAGGUGGGAUUAGCUAGUUGGUGAGGUAAGGGCUCACCAAGGCGACGAUCCCUAGCUGGUCUGAGAGGAUGAUCAGCCACACUGGAACUGAGACACGGUCCAGACUCCUACGGGAGGCAGCAGUGGGGAAUAUUGCACAAUGGGCGCAAGCCUGAUGCAGCCAUGCCGCGUGUGUGAAGAAGGCCUUCGGGUUGUAAAGCACUUUCAGUCGUGAGGAAGGUAGUGUAGUUAAUAGCUGCAUUAUUUGACGUUAGCGACAGAAGAAGCACCGGCUAACUCCGUGCCAGCAGCCGCGGUAAUACGGAGGGUGCGAGCGUUAAUCGGAAUUACUGGGCGUAAAGCGCAUGCAGGUGGUUUGUUAAGUCAGAUGUGAAAGCCCGGGGCUCAACCUCGGAAUUGCAUUUGAAACUGGCAGACUAGAGUACUGUAGAGGGGGGUAGAAUUUCAGGUGUAGCGGUGAAAUGCGUAGAGAUCUGAAGGAAUACCGGUGGCGAAGGCGGCCCCCUGGACAGAUACUGACACUCAGAUGCGAAAGCGUGGGGGAGCAAACAGGAUUAGAUACCCUGGUAGUCCACGCCGUAAACGAUGUCUACUUGGAGGUUGUGGCCUUGAGCCGUGGCUUUCGGAGCUAACGCGUUAAGUAGACCGCCUGGGGAGUACGGUCGCAAGAUUAAAACUCAAAUGAAUUGACGGGGGCCCGCACAAGCGGUGGAGCAUGUG